GUGACGUCACAAAGGGACGGGCCCGGGUGGAACCUUCUCCUCCUCCUCCGUGACGUCAAAAGUCGGGCGGGAGGUUCCAGCGCGGCGGGCCUGCGGGGGCGGAGGGAGCGGCGGGGAGGCGGGGGCUGCCGCGUGGGAGGAUGAGGAAGAGGAGGAGGAGGAUGCGACCGGCGUCGGCCUUCCGCCUUGACACGCCGCGCUUCCCCUCAGGUCUGCUGAUGGUGUGGCAUUGCUGCGGUGGUGGUCGUGUUCUCUCGCUAACGCUUUUGAAAAGCAAGGAAACUUCAUUCAGGGAAGCUUGGCUUUGUAAGAGGACCAUGUUGUGGAUUUGGUUACCAUGUCACUUUAAGUCGUGUGUAGGGUGUCUCCGCAGGAUGUGGCGGGAUGCCUUUCAGGGUGAUGCUGCCCAGCGUCAACUGUUGCUCUUUCUGGAAGCCUUGAAACAGCAGGGUGGCACUUCUUCGCUGUGCCAGCUCUAGGCUUAUGGAGUAUUUUGAGGGGCCAGACGAGGGAAGACUUCUCACUGAUACGUGUGCUUGGAAGAGCACUGGACUGUAAGUCUAAGGUGUUUUGGGCUUAGUUCUUCUGAACCGGAAAAUAAAGAGACUCGAAAUCUGAGUCUAUUUACUCUUCUGUAAAAUAGAAAAAGUAAUACCUGCCUUUGCCACUUCAGUUUAUCUGAGUUCACAUGCGUGAGAUAAUGUGCGUGAAAGAUGUAAAACUGCCAUCUGUGUAAGGUGGAAUUAUUACUUGAGCUGGUGAAGGCAGCACAUUUCCUACAAUUGGUCUCAAAAGCUUUCGAUGCCUGCCGCGUUGCCGUUUAGUUUAUUGCCUUAGCAAAGCAGAGUUUGGGGGUGGGAUUGUAGAUGGCAGGCUUUGGGAGAAAUGAUUGUUACAUUUCAUAUGAAAUGACGUCCUUGAGAAGCUCAUAAAUUGCGAUGUAAUCCUGUCUUAAUUGCUGGGCACGACUCCCACCACAAUACCUUGAAUAACUGAAAACGUUUGCCUUUCAAAACCCCAAUCCACUUGGACAAUAAAAACAGUUGCAUGUUUUGCUCUA